GUCCAACUCUAGUGGAACCAGUAUGCGACUACUCUCAUAACAAGGCUAAUUGCAUUGAAGGGUUUGGGUCGGAACCAGAAAGCGAACAAGCCAAUCUGCAGCAACUAGGGAUAAUGGCACUGAAGCUCGCAUCCAAAAACGCAACAGACACAGCAUUGUACAUUAAGCGAAUGCUUAAAGACGCAUCCACAUUGGACGCUGCCACUAAGCAAGCCCUCAUCGACUGCGCGGAGCAGUGUGGAGUGGAUGUGAACCAGCAACUGGUGUUAUAAAUAGCUCAUAUGUUAGAUGGUAUAGAGAGAGAAUUCUUAAAUUGUUAAAAUAUAAGAAGGUGAAGAAAUAAUAAAA
rnacentral:misc_RNA from 1 species